AAACUUUCAACAACGGAUCUCUUGGCUCUGGCAUCAAUGAAGAACGCAGCGAAAUGCGAUAAGUAAUGUGAAUUGAAGAAUUUAGUGAAUCAUCGAAUCUUUGAACGCACAUUGCGCCCCUUGGUAUUCCGAGGGGCAUGCCUGUUCGAGCGUC
rnacentral:rRNA from 1 species